GCCAAAGUGAUUUUUUUUUUUUUUUUUACAUAUGUAAAUCCUAGAUUGAGAGCUCUGUUUUCCGCCUUUCACAAAAACUUUAAUUUUUUUUUUAAUGAAAAACUCAAUAAAAAAAAUAACCUGAAAUGUGCACAAGACAGAACUUCUCCACUGCUUCUGAGUAUUUCUUCCUAGAUCACGUAUGGGACAUUAAUUAUUAAACAGAGCAAAGUUACUUAAUCACUGGGCUCUGUUUAAGGUCGUGAUGAUAUUUGCAGGAAUACCAACGUGAUAGGUUAAUAGGGCAUGCCUGGACAGCACCGAGUGAUCUGUUGAAUAGGUGGUCAACUGCAGGGAAGCCUUUGAAAACAGAAGUGCAUGUAGAGCCUUUUUUUCUAGUCAGUUUAAAGGAGCACUCCAAUUUAAUGUUGGAAUUGUUUCAACAUUAAAAGGAUGGACUAACAGACACCUAACUGUAACCAGACAGAUGUACGCACAGGAACAGAGGAGUUGAGGGCCCAGCUCAAAGAGUUUACAUGCUAGAGAUUAAUGCUGAUAGAUUGACAAAGCAUCAUGGCAGUUGUAGUUCUACAACAUCUUGAGGUUCUACCUCUUGGGCAGCUCUGCACUAAUGCCACAGAAAAUAUUGCUGGAUUCCUGCUGUUACAGGAUACAUAUUAAUUGUUAAAUAAUGUAUGCACCUCCCCAGACUCAUUCACAUGUACCACAUUCCUGCAGCUGACCGAUAUGUGUACAGUUACUAUUAGUAUUAUGUGCAUACUUACAGAUACAUUCAUGUAAAAAGCUGUAAUAUUGCGGAUUCUGUCUCCCCAGGGCCUUUUUCUACUGAUAUUUGGAUGCCUUAUGGACAUAAAGGUGAGGGAUAGACCUUCGUUAAGUUGAAAAUCUCAUGAAUUCUAUGAUAGGAAACCAUAUGAAUUGUGUCUCACUACAGGUCAGACUGGCUCU